GAUGAACGCUGGCGGCGUGCCUAAUACAUGCAAGUCGAGCGAAGCGGGGACGGGUGAGUAACACGUGGAUAACCUCCUAUAAGACUGGGAUAACUUCGGGAAACCGGAGCUAAACCGGAUACUUAUUUAUGGAUCCGCGCUGCAUUAGCUAUUUGGUAAGGUAACGGCUUACCAAGGCAACGAUGCAUAGCCGACCUGAAAGGGAGAUCGGCAACACUGGAACUGGGUCACGGUCCAGACUCCUACGAGGGGCAGCAGUAGGGAAUCUUCCGCAAUGGGCGAAAGCCUGACGGAGAAAAGCCGCGUGAGUAAUGAAGGUCUUCGGAUCGUAAAACUCUGUUAUUAGGGAAGCGGUAACUAAGCAGAAAGCCACGGCUAACUACGUGCCAGCAGCCGCGGUAAUAC
rnacentral:rRNA from 1 species